GGCUGGGUAGCCAAACCGGUAAGGCACUGCUCUGCAAAAGCAGGAAUUGCGAGUUCGAGUCUCGUCCUAGCCUCCA
rnacentral:tRNA from 1 species